GGGACCUUAUGUUCAACAACUUGUUGAGCAAUCUCGAUUUUCUGCAGAUGCCCGCC
rnacentral:sRNA from 1 species